rnacentral:rRNA from 1 species
UUGUUGGUAAGGUAAAAGCUUACCAAGGCUUCGAUCAGUAGCUGGUCUGAGAGGACGACCAGCCACACUGGGACUGAGACACGGCCCAGACUCCUGCGGGAGGCAGCAGUGGGGAAUUUUGGACAAUGGGGGCAACCCUGAUCCAGCCAUGCCGCGUGAGUGAAGAAGGCCUUCGGGUUGUAAAGCUCUUUCAGCCGGAACGAAACGGUUACGGUUAAUACCCGUGACUACUGACGGUACCGGAAGAAGAAGCACCGGCUAACUACGUGCCAGCAGCCGCGGUAAUACGUAGGGUGCGAGCGUUAAUCGGAAUUACUGGGCGUAAAGCGUGCGCAGGUGGUUUUGUAAGUCAGAUGUGAAAGCCCCGGGCUCAACCUGGGAACUGCGUUUGAAACUACAAGACUAGAGUGUGGCAGAGGGGGGUGGAAUUCCGCGUGUAGCAGUGAAAUGCGUAGAGAUGUGGAGGAACACCGAUGGCGAAGGCAGCCCCCUGGGUCAACACUGACGCUCAGGCACGAAAGCAUGGGGAGCAAACAGGAUUAGAUACCCUGGUAGUCCAUGCCCUAAACGAUGUCAACUAGUUGUCGGGCCUUUACGGGCUUGGUAACGUAGCUAACGCGUGAAGUUGACCGCCUGGGGAGUACGAUCGCAAGAUUAAAACUCAAAUGAAUUGACAGGGACCCGCACAAGCGGUGGAUUAUGUGGAUUAAUUCGAUGCAACGCGAAAAACCUUACCUACCCUUGACAUGUAUCGAAGCCCGCAGAAAAGCGGGGGUGCCCGAAAGGGAACGAUAACACAGGUGCUGCAUGGCUGUCGUCAGCUCGUGUCGUGAGAUGUUGGGUUAAGUCCCGCAACGAGCGCAACCCUUGUCAUUAAUUGCCAUCAUUUAGUUGGGCACUUUAAUGAGACUGCCGG